UAGGGAAUAUUGGGCAAUGGAGGGAACUCUGACCCAGCCAUGCCGCGUGCAGGAUGAAGGCGUUAUGCGUUGUAAACUGCUUUUUAUAUAGGAAGAAAUAGUCCUUGCGAGGAAAGUUGACGGUACUAUAUGAAUAAGCACCGGCUAACUCCGUGCCAGCAGCCGCGGUAAUACGGAGGGUGCAAGCGUUGUCCGGAUUUAUUGGGUUUAAAGGGUGCGUAGGCGGUUUAUUAAGUCAGUGGUGAAAGACGGUCGCUCAACGAUUGCAGUGCCAUUGAUACUGGUAGACUUGAGUAUGAUUGAGGUAGCUGGAAUGGAUAGUGUAGCGGUGAAAUGCAUAGAUAUCGUCAAGAACACCGAUAGCGAAGGCAGCUUACCAAGCUGUAACUGACACUGAGGCACGAAAGUGUGGGGAUCAAACAGGAUUAGAUACCCAAGUAGUCCCUGAGCGGGCUGGCAAGGCGCAU
rnacentral:rRNA from 1 species